rnacentral:rRNA from 1 species
AUUGAACGCUGGCGGCAUGCCUUACACAUGCAAGUCGAACGGCAGCACGGGUGCUUGCACCUGGUGGCGAGUGGCGCACGGGUGAGUAAUACAUCGGAACAUGUCCUGUAGUGGGGGAUAGCCCGGCGAAAGCCGGAUUAAUACCGCAUACGAUCCACGGAUGAAAGCGGGGGACCUUCGGUCUUCGCUCUAUAGGGUUGGCCGAUGGCUGAUUCGCUAUUUGGUGGGGUAGAGGCCUACAGAGGCGACGAUCAGUAGCUGGUCUGAGAGGACGACGAGACACACUGAGACUGAGACACGGCCCAGACACCUACGGGAGGCAGCAGUGGGGAAUUUUGGACAAUGGGCGAAAGACUGAUCCAGCAGUGCCACGUGUGUGAAGAAGGCCUUCGGGUGGUAAAGCACUUUUGUCCGGGAAGAAACCCUUGGCUCUAAAACAGUCUGUUUAUGACGGUACCUGAAGAAGAAGCACCGGCUAACUACGUG